ACGAUGCUAGUCACGCCGAAGCUGCCAUCUUUUACGAGGAGAAUGUCUACGUACAUCCGCGAACAUCAAUUUAUGAAGACGAUUACAUCCAACGAUUUACAUCUUCGUGACGUUCUUCUGAAAGUCACUCGAUUAAUCUGAUCGACGAUAGUAGAGAAAAUAAGCUUAGGAUAAUGAUUACGUUGAAUUUUUUGAAAAAAGAAUGAUUUUUAAUAGAAUAAUAUUUUCUAGGUGGUAAUAGGAUAAAUAUGUGGUAAAAAAGAGGUCAAAGUGAAAUUCGACGUUGAAAAUCGAAAGAAUUCACAUUUACGCUAAUUAAAUUAUUUUCAAUGAUAUAUAUACAUAUAUCUCUCGCGAUAUCGCGAUAAUAUCUCUUAUGAAUCUUGUUCUUUACAUUUGGUAUUAUAAUUACUUGAGGUAUAACCGAGAUACAAUCAACGUCGAAAUUCUAUUGAAAAAAGGAUUCGAGAUCGAAGUAUAAUAAAUAAAUGUACAUAAUACAUAAAUGUAUUACACACACACACACGCGUAAUUCUUUUUUUCUUUUUUCUUUUUUUAUGUGAAUAAAUAUUUCGUGUUUUUAUUUCAUGAAGACGUCCUUCCAUGUUAGUUACAAUUUUUACUUCGUUUUGCUUUUGUUUCGCCUAUCUUCUUUUCAUUUCUUCGCAUUUGUAGUAGACUUCUUUCGUGUGAUACAUCGCGCGACUUUUGUACAUUACGAUGAAGAUCGGAUCUAGAUUUGGUGUUCCUUUUUUUUGCUUUUUGUUUAUCCUUUUUAAAGCUAUCGUUAUAACACAUAGAUUAUGUACGCACAUAAAAUAUAGUGAUGCUGGAAAUCUUUAGGGAUCCUGACCAAAUACGAGGCGCCGUACGCAAUUACGCUAAUGCUUUUUUCGCGUGUUACCUCGGUGGACAGAUUCACUUUAAUAAAUUAAGAUCAAUUACAAAAAAUAGUUGUAACGAACUGUGCAACGAAGAAGAUUAGAAAAAUGACAUUUAUCACAUCGACAUAGAAUGUGAAAUGGACUAAAUAUAAGAUCGACAUCUUUUCUUCUUUCAUUUGUUUUCUUCACUUUGUGCGUAAAUCGAAUGAAUAAUCAUCAACUUGAAAAUGCGGAAGCUCCGCAUAAGCAAAAGGAACAUUUUGUGUAAUGCAAAGAACUACCACCGCGAGCGGAAAUGUUUUGCCGAUUAUUUACAACGAAACUGUUCAUGAUCACAAUGAGUUUUAAGGGAAAUAAAAAUAACAUAACGGUAUACUAUUAUACAAGUCGUGAAUGAGCUUAUACAAAACAUAUUGUACGUAGCUUAUUAAUUCGCACCGAUCUUAUAUAUCACUAGAGGCAGUGGUCUCGUAUAUAUCGUAAAUCGUAAAGACAAAAUUUCGUAUUAGAAAGCCAGUAAAGUCACGAUUGAAAUUUGUUAUAUAUUUUAUCGGAAAAGAAACUAUAGCAAAAACGUGUUUUAAAUAUCACACGUUUAAUAUAUAUACAUAUAUAUGUAUAUAUCUAUGCACAAUAUAUAUACAUACGUUUGCACGGGCACACUGGACUAUGUCCUAAGCACAAGGUAAAAUAUCUAUGUAAGAAUAAAUUUAUGUCCGAAAGUCGAAAAAGUUACGCUUAUAACUUGUAAUACGUCGUCGGAAUCUUUGAAUGAGAAGAAAAAAUUAACUCAAUUGUAAAGUCGAAAAUAGAGAAAGAAAAAUGGAGAGGAGAUGGGAGAGGGGAGGAGGGAGAGAGAGAAACAAGUUUUACAUUCAGUUUUUGUUGAGAAAAAAGGAAUUUGACGAGCCAAAUACACAUAACAUAAUAUAUCACACACCCAGUAAUAUAGAAUAAGAAAUAUGUAUGUAAUAUAUAUGUAUGGGUCAUAAAUAUGCAUCUUUUUAAAUGUUUAACGAUAAACGGAAGAAAACUAUGAAAUAAGAAAAUAAAUGAGAAAUUCAUCAACAAUAAAGUUUGAGAAUAUUAGAGAAAAGAAAAAUCAUUAAAUAAAAAUAAUUGCAUAAACAUUUACGCGAGUUUGCACAAAGUUGUACGAGUUUGCAUAAAAAUGAAGAAACAACACGAAACACUUCUGUGUUAUCCUAGUACGUAGUAUAUAAUUGAAAUAAUAGAAAAUUCGAAAGUCAUAUCUAUUUUACCGGCACAUGCGACGUAAGCGAUUCCUUUGAACGGUUUCAACACAUGCAUCCUUUUUUUCCACAUGGAGGACGGAUCAAUCAGACACAACGAACAGCGUAUACAUGAAUAAACGAUCGAUCGAUCGAUCGAUUGACGAGGAAUCAUUCAUCGGAGCGCAGAUAAAAAGAGACGCGGUAUUUAAUCUAACGACUUUGACCUGUCUAAUCUACGUUUACUUUCAAAACCAGAGUCGAUGAUCGUUCUCGUCGCGUCGAAAUGUCUCGCGGCGGAAACGAAUGACCCCGCUAUCACAUUAUUGGAUGGAUUUGAUUGAGGACUCGUAGCGACGUCCGUAACAACACGAUUUGCGAAAUCAUGUUCCCCCUUAGCGUUCUCGGACAAAACAAAAGUUGUUCGCGUGAAGAUCCUUUCGUGAGAAUCUAAGGAAUCCCUGACUUCCUUUUCCUCGUCCUCCUCUUCCUCUCUUUCUUCUUCUUCCUCCUUAUCCUCAUCGUGUUUCGAACCAGUGGCAUAUCUUCCGACAAAUUUGUACAAUCCACCAGCAUUAAUCCGGCCAACGACGAUCUCAUCCGAUUUCUCCCUUUUCCUCGAACGAACGGCCGAGAAAAAUUCAUCUACGUCAUCGUCUUUCAUGUCCUCUUUCCAUAGUUGCUGACGAUGCUGUCCGUAUCUUUCUUUUGAGGAACAACUUUCGAACUUCGUGUGUCCAUGCAUCUGAGAUAUCGUACAGUCCACGCCCUCACAAAUAUCUCUCAAAAUCAUCCGUUCUUUCGAGCCGGUCGAAUCGACUUCUGACUUAAGCGUUUUACCUUUUCUCGAAGUACCAUGAACGAUUGGCGGACGUUCAGAAGUGUCAAUCGUUGAGAGCAUUUCCGAACUCCGCUCCUGUCUCAAAGGAGAAACACAAAAAUUCUGUCUGACGAUGGCAGCGCUACCGAUAACAUUCUCCGCCGGACAAUACUGCGGAAAACGUACGUACGCUGCAUUCUCCUGCAUACAAUCCUCGGUGUUGUUCUGUCGUGAAUUCACCGGACUGUUUGUACACUGUUGCAUGGACUGUUGACCACGCGAACCCGGAUCCAUCAUGGUAGAAUUUAAUCUCGCUGGACUGCACGGAUAAGCGAAAUAUGAAGGCGCGCUCGGAUUCGUUAUCACAUUACUCCCUGCUACGAAAUUCAAUCUGGUAGCUCUUGCUUCUGGUGAUGUUGGCGUCGACGACGCUUUCCCUCGAGUCUGAGCGAUCACCGUUUCGUAACUCGGCGGUGGACCAUAUAAUUGAUAGUAGGGACAAUUGGUGUCGUUCAACACUACAUUCAUGUUUUGAUAAUACGUCGAUGUCGUUGCGUUCCCGUUGAAAUUGGGAGACGUUCCAUUCCUUUGAGGACCUAACGAAAGAUCUGUACUUUAGAAAAUACCAUCUUCAUAUGCCAACUAUAAAUUUCACGGGCUAUCGAGCGUUAUAUACAUUUCCGAAAAGUUUUUAUAGAUAAAGACUUUUGAACUUAAGUGUAAUAAGUAAUAUCAGUCAGUAAAGAAUUCAUUUUUAAAUGUUAAAUCAAUUUCUUUCUGAAAAAAUUGGGAAGUUUUAAAAUACGAUAUCGUAGGUGUCUAACUGUAUCAACAAAAGAUAAAUUUAAAAAAUAACUUCAUCAAAGUUAAAUAUUCAACAAUCAAUAAAAAUGAUAUCGAAAGAAAAUUUACUAGCCUUUCCACAUACGAUGUAAUAAGACGGUGUUUCUUGCUGAAUUAUAAGAGAUACGGGCUUGUUGUGGUUGACAAGCUUGACCUCGAAAUGUGCUUUGCGUUCUCGAGUUGGAAGAUCUACUUGGGAUUGUGGAUGCAGUGGUUCUAUAUCUUCCUUGUAACCUAUAUCGAUACCACCAACCACCUCCGGAACACACCAGAAACAUAAUUAUAACUAAAAUCCUAAAAGAAAAUGAAAAAAUCAUAACGUUAAUAUGAAAAAUUGAAGUAACGAAUUCAAAUCUCGAUUUAUAAUUAUUAAAAAUUUACGCACCAAUAAUACCAUAAAUGAUGAAAAUGAAGUCCAGGAGAGACGCAGCAGCCGAAGGCGCAACAGUAUUCACUUCUUGAACAUCUGAGAUCAAAAUAACUUAUCAUUUUCAUAUAAAUUCGUUAAAAAAUAUUUCUCAUAAUGAAAAUUAAAUAUAUGCAAAUCAAAGAAUGUAUCGAUCUUAUGUAAUUCUCACAUAUCAUUAUAAUAAAUAUAAACAUUAUAAAUCACGUAUGUACAAAUAAAAAUUUUAAGAUACAUUAAUUAUUAAAUAUAACGUAUAAAACAUGUAACUCACUCAUAAUAUUUCACUUGUUCAGGCAUUUCAGAGGCACAAUAUUUGGCUUCUGCCUAAAAGAAUUUUGUCAUUAAUAACAAUCUGAUAAUAAAAAUAAUAUAUAAAAC